rnacentral:misc_RNA from 1 species
UACAGAGGGUGCAAACGUUGUUCGGAAUUACUGGGCGUAAAGCGCGCGUAGGCGGCUGGGUAAGUCGGAUGUGAAAGCCCGGAGCUCAACUCCGGAAUGGCAUCCGAAACUGCUCAGCUUGAGUCCCGGAGAGGGUGGUGGAAUUCCUGGUGUAGAGGUGAAAUUCGUAGAUAUCAGGAGGAACACCGGUGGCGAAGGCGACCAUCUGGACGGUGACUGACGCUGAGGCGCGAAAGCGUGGGUAGCGAACAAG